AGCGAACGCUGGUGGCAUGCUUAACACAUGCAAGUCGCACGGGCAGGUUUCGGCCUGUCAGUGGCGGACGGGUGAGUAACGCGUAGGGAUCUAUCUCUGGGUGGGGGACAACCGUGGGAACUACGGCUAAUACCGCAUGACACCUGAGGGUCAAAGGCGCCGGGGCAACCUGGGGUCGCCGGGAGCGGAGCCUGCGUACGAUUAGCUGGUUGGUGGGGUAACGGCCUACCAAGGCGACGAUCGUUAGCUGGUCUGAGAGGAUGAUCAGCCACAUUGGGACUGAGACACGGCCCAAACUCCUACGGGAGGCAGCAGUGGGGAAUAUUGGACAAUGGCGCAAGCCUGAUCCAGCAAUGCCGCGUGUGUGAAGAAGGUCUUCGGAUUGUAAAGCACUUCCGGCGGGGACGAUGAUGACGGUACCCGCAGAAGAAGCCCCGGCUAACUUCGUGCC
rnacentral:rRNA from 1 species